GCAACCCCCCGCCACCACCUUGAGAGGCGCUCGAAGCCAAGGGUCUCGCUGGCUGCCACCUGGGGUGUGGCCGCGCCCCGGUGCCCAGUGGGGCCUGGGGCAAGCCGCGGCCGGGUGCAUUGAGGGGUGACACGUGACACGGCCCGAGGAUGAUGUCAUGAGGGGCUUGGUUACCAUAGCAACAGGCCCAUGACCCCAGGUGGGGACAGGAGGACUUGCUUGGUUUCCAUGGCGAUGGGCCCUUCCCACUGGAGUGCCUGUGACCCGGCAUGAGGUGCUUGGUUACCAUGCCAACGGGCAUAUCACACCUUCUUGCCAUGGUGAUGGACCCAAGUUAUGCACCAAGGCACCCGGUUACCACGGAGAUGGGCCCAUCCCACCCACUUGAAUGGCUGUGACCUGGCCUGAGGUGCUUGGUUACCAUGACAACCGGUGUAUCACACCCUCUCAGGCACUCCAGGGCCAUGCAGUGAUAACACACUCCAUUGCCAUGGUGAGAGGCGCAAGUUACCCAGGCACCUGGUUACCAUGGUGAUGAGCACAGGCUAGUCACCUGUGUUGUCGCCUGAGGCUGUUAACGAUUAUAGCACAGCUGCUAUGGGUCUGGCCAAGACUCCUCCCCUUUCUGCUCUCCAGCCCAGAGGUGGCUGUAUUCCAGCGACACUGCAUGGGCACCUGGUGUGCAGGCUGCUUCUUCACGUGCCAACGUAGGGGGAGUGCAAAUUGUCAACUCUAAGCACUCAAAAAUUUGGAGUCAUGCCUCAAAAUUUGUGAGAUUGGCUUCAAAACCAUCUUUUCAUUUUUUUUUUUAAAUAACACAUUUGGGUUCUUUUCAUUUGCCUUCUCAUGUCUCAGCCUUUCGGCAGCAUGCCAGUCACAUUUUCAAGCUUUUCUCCACAACCACCAGGCCAAGAAACUUUCUAUUUAAAUAAAAGCUGCAGUUCUCCUAUAAUCCCAUGAUUCUGGGAGCUGGUGCUUUAAGACAGACCCCAAAUGUUAUGAGGCUUGUGUGACGGACCCCCCCCCCCAUGCUUUUUGAAAUGGACUCAUGGACAUGAAUAUACAUAACUCAAAGGUGGUUUGAGCAAAUUAUUUCAUGUAACCCAUCAAUCUUCAUGUCAUGAUCUGCUGGUUCUGUUUAUCUUACUCUGUUGUAUGUAUCAUUUGUAUGCGUAAAAUUAGACACAUGGUGUUACAUGCCAACUUCUAGAUGAGCUACUGUUAAACAAUCUUUUGUCCUUAAGUCUGAGCAGUGGUUGGCAAGGAGUGGCCUCAACUCCUUAACAAAAGGAAUGGGAAAGGAGAGGCCUGAGUCUUUUGGCUGGGCAACACCUGAAGAGAGGAGUCAGGGACCUCAGGGUGUGGAAGAGAGCCCUGGUUUGGAGGGACAGCUGGAAAAGAGGCUUUAGGGCAGAAGAUGUGAGUGUGGUGCGCACACCCUGCAUGCUGGCAGAUGGAAACCACAACUGGGCAGCAUGCAGCAGCCUGAUGAAGCUUCCAAGGAGGUUUAAUCCACCAGGUGCUUCCUGCCCCAGCAGUAAUUCUGCUGUACCGAACCUGCACGUAGAGCACAUCCUGAGGCAUCUUGGUCAGAACUGUGAAGUCCCAGUUGGUGAGACUGUGUCCGGAAUGCUGGGAGGACCAAAGGCCGGAGCCCACCUUUUAAAACAGCUGUUGAUAAAUCAGAACACCCUGGAGGAGAUCCACAAAAACGACCCCCAGAGAGGCUGAAUGAAAGAGCGUCAGCUGUUGAGCUUAGCAGAACGCAAGCGAGGUUUCCCACAUAGGGACCACGUUCCCUGCCAUCACACCAGAGUGGAAUACACCUCUCGCUCAGCGCCCUGUAGUGGUCCAGUGAAGAAAAAUCUCCCAAGCACUCAGGUACCUGAGAUGGGACCAGUAUGAAUACCAAGCGAGAAACCUGUGCCUGCCAGGGGCAGAAUCCACCAGCAACAGGAGGAUCUGAGUCCCUCCUGGCCUACAAAGACUUUCCUGUCCCUCUGCAGGUUUCCUGGACAGACUUUACAAAGGCAAAGAUGAAACAUUUUGGGGCCUCUGCGAGAAGCCGUGCCUUUAGCUGGGGACUCACAAGCCUUCAGUGAAGGUAGGUUGGUCUCUUCACAGAGGGGAAAGUGGGGCCUAAGUGAGUUGACCGAAACCUCAGGAAAAGUCAGUGGCAGA